GAUGAACGCUGGCGGCGUGCCUAAUACAUGCAAGUCGAGCGAACAGACGAGGAGCUUGCUCCUCUGACGUUAGCGGCGGACGGGUGAGUAACACGUGGAUAACCUACCUAUAAGACUGGGAUAACUUCGGGAAACCGGAGCUAAUACCGGAUAAUAUAUUGAACCGCAUGGUUCAAUAGUGAAAGACGGUUUUGCUGUCACUUAUAGAUGGAUCCGCGCCGCAUUAGCUAGUUGGUAAGGUAACGGCUUACCAAGGCAACGAUGCGUAGCCGACCUGAGAGGGUGAUCGGCCACACUGGAACUGAGACACGGUCCAGACUCCUACGGGAGGCAGCAGUAGGGAAGUUUCCGCAAUGGGCGAAAGCCUGACGGAGCAACGCCGCGUGAGUGAUGAAGGUCUUCGGAUCGUAAAACUCUGUUAUUAGGGAAGAAAAAAUGUGUAAGUAACUAUGCACGCCUUGACGGUACCUAAUCAGAAAGCCCCGGCUAACUACGUG
rnacentral:rRNA from 1 species